rnacentral:rRNA from 1 species
GCGAUGGUUGUCGUCAGCUCGUGUCGUGAGAUGUUGGUUAAGUCCCGCAACGAGCGCAACCCCUAUUGUUAGUUGCCAUCAUUCAGUUGGGCACUCUAGCGAGACUGCCGGUAAUAAACCGGAGGAAGGUGGGGAUGACGUCAAAUCAUCAUGCCCCUUAUGACCUGGGCUACACACGUGCUACAAUGGUUGGUACAACGAGUUGCGAGUCGGUGACGGCGAGCUAAUCUCUUAAAGCCAAUCUCAGUUCGGAUUGUAGGCUGCAACUCGCCUACAUGAAGUCGGAAUCGCUAGUAAUCGCGGACCAGCACGCCGCGGUGAAUACGUUCCCGGGCCUU